CUGGAAUGAUGUAGCUUAGCCAAAUCAGACAUUUGAUGUGCUCCAAAAGGCAUGUUCUUGAAACUUUGUUAUGGUGCUAAAGUAAUAUCUUCUAUACCCUUGAACAAGCUAUAGAUAAGAUGCCUUAUGUUGAAGCGUGUCCCCCUGAUGAUAAACUAGAGAUCGGUUGCUGUCUGACCAGA
rnacentral:snoRNA from 1 species